rnacentral:rRNA from 1 species
AUUGAACGCUGGCGGCAGGCCUAACACAUGCAAGUCGAGCGGAGAGGCGGACGGGGGAGUAAUGCCUAGUAAUCUGCCUGGGAGUGGGGGAUAACGUCCGGAAACGGGCGCUAAUACCGCAUACUAUCAGAUGAGCCUAGGUCGGAUUGGCUAGUUGGUGGGGUAAAGGCCUACCAAGGCGACGAUCCGUAACUGGUCUGAGCGGAUGAUUAGUCACACUGGAACUGAGGCACGGUCCAGACUCCUACGGUAGGCAGCAGUGGGGAAUAUUGGACAAUUGGCGAAAGCCGGAUCCAGCCAUGCCGCGUGAGUGAAGAAGGUCUUCGGAUUGUAACGCACUUUAAGUUGGGAGGCGUGACCAACAGAAUAAGCACCGGCUAACUACGUGCCAGCAGCCGCGGUAAUUC